GAUGAACGCUGGCGGCGUGCCUAAUACAUGCAAGUCGAGCGAACGGACGAGAAGCUUGCUUCUCUGAUGUUAGCGGCGGACGGGUGAGUAACACGUGGAUAACCUACCUAUAAGACUGGGAUAACUUCGGGAAACCGGAGCUAAUACCGGAUAAUAUUUUGAACCGCAUGGUUCAAAAGUGAAAGACGGUCUUGCUGUCACUUAUAGAUGGAUCCGCGCUGCAUUAGCUAGUUGGUAAGGUAACGGCUUACCAAGGCAACGAUGCAUAGCCGACCUGAGAGGAUGAUCGGCCACACUGGAACUGAGACACGGUCCAGACUCCUACGGGAGGCAGCAGUAGGGAAUCUUCCGCAAUGGGCGAAAGCCUGACGGAGCAACGCCGCGUGAGUGAUGAAGGUCUUCGGAUCGUAAAACUCUGUUAUUAGGGAAGAACAUAUGUGUAAGUAACUGUGCACAUCUUGACGGUACCUAAUCAGAAAGCCACGGCUAACUACGUGCCAGCAGCCGCGGUAAUACGUAGGUGGCAAGCGUUAUCCGGAAUUAUUGGGCGUAAAGCGCGCGUAGGCGGUUUUUUAAGUCUGAUGUGAAAGCCCACGGCUCAACCGUGGAGGGUCAUUGGAAACUGGAAAACUUGAGUGCAGAAGAGGAAAGUGGAAUUCCAUGUGUAGCGGUGAAAUGCGCAGAGAUAUGGAGGAACACCAGUGGCGAAGGCGACUUUCUGGUCUGUAACUGACGCUGAUGUGCGAAAGCGUGGGGAUCAAACAGGAUUAGAUACCCUGGUAGUCCACGCCGUAAACGAUGAGUGCUAAGUGUUAGGGGGUUUCCGCCCCUUAGUGCUGCAGCUAACGCAUUAAGCACUCCGCCUGGGGAGUACGACCGCAAGGUUGAAACUCAAAGGAAUUGACGGGGACCCGCACAAGCGGUGGAGCAUGUGGUUUAAUUCGAAGCAACGCGAAGAACCUUACCAAAUCUUGACAUCCUUUGACAACUCUAGAGAUAGAGCUUUCCCCUUCGGGGGACAAAGUGACAGGUGGUGCAUGGUUGUCGUCAGCUCGUGUCGUGAGAUGUUGGGUUAAGUCCCGCAACGAGCGCAACCCUUAAGCUUAGUUGCCAUCAUUAAGUUGGGCACUCUAAGUUGACUGCCGGUGACAAACCGGAGGAAGGUGGGGAUGACGUCAAAUCAUCAUGCCCCUUAUGAUUUGGGCUACACACGUGCUACAAUGGACGAUACAAAGGGCAGCGAAACCGCGAGGUCAAGCAAAUCCCAUAAAGUUGUUCUCAGUUCGGAUUGUAGUCUGCAACUCGACUACAUGAAGCUGGAAUCGCUAGUAGUCGUAGAUCAGCAUGCUACGGUGAAUACGUUCCCGGGUCU
rnacentral:rRNA from 1 species